AUUGAACGCUGGCGGCAGGCCUAACACAUGCAAGUCGAGCGAGCGGCGGACGGGUGAGGAAUGUCAGGGAAACUGGUAGAUGGGGGGGGCGAACUACAGGAGACGGUAGCAAAUCCCGCAUACCAUCAGAUGUGGCCAGAUGGGACUAGCUAGUAGGGGGGGUAACGGCUAACCCAGGCGACGGUCCCUAGCUGGUCUGAGAGGAUGAUCAGCCACACUGGAACUGAGACACGGUCCAGACUCCUACGGGAGGCAGCAGUGGGGAAUAUUGCACAAUGGGCGCAAGCCUGAUGCAGCCAUGCCGCGUGUGUGAAGAAGGUCUUCGGAUUGUAAAGCACUUUCAGCGGGGAGGCGUUACCCGCAGAAGAAGCACCGGCUAACUCCGUGCCAGCAGCCGCGGUAAUUC
rnacentral:rRNA from 1 species